UGCCAGAACUAGCCAACACCGACUACUCUGU
rnacentral:piRNA from 1 species